rnacentral:lncRNA from 1 species
CAUCAUUUGCUUUUUAUGGAUGUAGGGGUGAGGAUAGUAAAAUUAUUAUUUCCUUUAAAUAUCUUUGUCAAUUUCUUUUAAUCUUACAGUUUACAGCUUCCUUUUCACAGUGAAUCUACCUUUCAAAGAAUUACUUAUUCUUUGAAAACUUCACAAAGGCAUCCUACAUGAUGCAUUUUCAUGUUAUUUACAGCAAAUACGUAAAUCAUAUACUAAUGACAGUAGCAUCUUUGUAGUUCAUUCUAAAAUAUGGAUGAAAUAUGAGUUUUCUUCCAAGGUACAAAACGUCAUUAAGGGCUCAGGUGGUUAAAAUCAACAUGAAAAAUACAUGCAGCAUUUUCUCCCCUUAAAUGCAAUAAUGUAAUCAGAUUUCAAGUCAUCUUACCUACCUCACUUACAGCUUUAUGGAGAUUAAUUAGUUUUUAGACCCCAGUCACAUGAUCUUUUCUGACUGUCAUUUAGCUGGCUGACUAGAACCUGUAAGCUGUCUCCUGCCCCAAAGGACAGAUUAAAUUUUAGUAUUGUUUGUCUUCUUUCUUUGAUUUAAAGUUGUAUUUUUAAAGUUAUGGUUUAUUUUAUUUUGUUGUUAAUUGGAAAUUUACUGUAACCUUGUUUGGGGGAUGUUAAAUAUUUGAAAUAAUAAAUAUUAGGUAAAACAAAAUGUUUUCCCUCUUUUGCUAUAAAGAUGGUUAUUAUACAGACACCUAAAACAUAGGUUUUUAUUAUUUAUGAUUCAGAUGUUACAAGUAUUCAAAUAAGUUUUCUGCCACAGAAUGGCACUUUGCAGGGGAAGUUACUCAGGAGCUCCAGGUUAGGAACACUAGUAGUUGGUGGUCCCAAAACAAAUUUCUAAGAUCAAAAUGAUGAUUAAAAAUAUUCCUAAUUACUUGGAAAUUUAAAAACCGAAAAAGGGUAUAAGUUGCCUCAGUGACAAAAUUUCUGUUUAAAAAAUAACACCCACAAACAUAGAAAACAAAAUUCAACACAACAAAAAAUUAAUAGUUAUGCAUUUGUUAUUCAUUAACAAUGUAUUUUCUAUGAUUACUGUUAUCAUUUGUUAACUCUGUUGCUGACUGAGCUGAGGAUUAAAAUGGAAAGAUCACAGCCUUAGUUUUUAUGUUAGUACACUUAGCUGUGGAUUCUCAAUAGGAC